GAUGAACGCUGGCGGCGUGCCUAAUACAUGCAAGUCGAGCGAACAGAUGAGGAGCUUGCUCCUCUGACGUUAGCGGCGGACGGGUGAGUAACACGUGGAUAACCUACCUAUAAGACUGAGAUAACUUCGGGAAACCGGAGCUAAUACCGGAUAAUAUAUUCAACCGCAUGGUUCAAUAGUGAAAGACGGUUUUGCUGUCACUUAUAGAUGGAUCCGCGCCGCAUUAGCUAGUUGGUAAGGUAACGGCUUACCAAGGCAACGAUGCGUAGCCGACCUGGGGGGGUGAUGGGCCCCGCUGGAGCGGGGACACGGUCCAGAGGCCUCCGGGAGGCGGCCGUUGGGACUCUUCCGCGAUGGGGGGGGGAAUAACGGAGCAACGGCGCGUGAGUGAUGAAGGUCUUCGGUUCGUAAGACGCUGUUAUUAGGGAUGAAAAAAGGUGUAAGUAGCUAAGAAGGACUUGACGGUACCUACUCAAGAAGCGACGGCUAACUACGUG
rnacentral:rRNA from 1 species